rnacentral:rRNA from 1 species
CCUACGGGUGGCAGCAGGGAGGAAUAUUGGUCAAUGGGCGCGAGCCGGAACCAGCCAAGUAGCGUGAAGGAUGACUGCCCUACGGGGUGUAAACUUCGUUUAUAAAGGAAUAAAGUGAGGCACGUGUGCCUUUUUGUAUGUACUUUAUGAAUAAGGAUCGGCUAACUCCGUGCCAGCAGCCGCGGUAAUACGGAGGAUCCGAGCGUUAUCCGGAUUUAUUGGGUUUAAAGGGAGCGUAGAGGGGUUGUUAAGUCAGUUGUGAUAGUUUGCGGCUCAACCGUAAAAUUGCAAUUGAUACUGGCAGUCUUGCGUACCGUUGAGGUAGGCGCACUUCGUGGUGUAGCG